rnacentral:rRNA from 1 species
CCUACGGGAGGCAGCAGUGAGGAAUAUUGGUCAAUGGACGCAAGUCUGAACCAGCCAUGCCGCGUGCAGGAAGACUGCCCUAUGAGUUGUAAACUGCUUUUGUACGAGGGUAAACGCAGAUACGCGUAUCUGUCUGAAAGUAUCCUACGAAUAAGGAUCGGCUAACUCCGUGCCAGCAGCCGCGGUAAUACGGAGGAUUCAAGCGUUAUCCGGAUUUAUUGGGGUUUAAGGGUGCGUAGGCGGUCGGAUGAGUUAGAGGUGAAAACCAGAGGCUCAACUUCGGAAUUGCCUCUGAUACUGUUCGGCGAGAGAGUAGUUGCGGUAGGCGGAAUGUAUGGUGUAGCGGUGAAAUGCUUAGAGAUCAUACAGAACACCGAUUGCGAAGGCAGCUUACCAGGCUUCUUCUGACGUUGAGGCACGAAAGCGUGGGGAGCAAACAGGAUUAGAUACCCCAGUAGUC